UAGGGAAUCUUCCGCAAUGGGCGAAAGCCUGACGGAGCAACGCCGCGUGAGUGAUGAAGGUCUUCGGAUCGUAAAACUCUGUUAUUAGGGAAGAACAAAUGUGUAAGUAACUAUGCACGUCUUGACGGUACCUAAUCAGAAAGCCACGGCUAACUACGUGCCAGCAGCCGCGGUAAUACGUAGGUGGCAAGCGUUAUCCGGAAUUAUUGGGCGUAAAGCGCGCGUAGGCGGUUUUUUAAGUCUGAUGUGAAAGCCCACGGCUCAACCGUGGAGGGUCAUUGGAAACUGGAAAACUUGAGUGCAGAAGAGGAAUGUGGAAUUCCAUGUGUAGCGGUGAAAUGCGCAGAGAUAUGGAGGAACACCAGUGGCGAAGGCGACUUUCUGGUCUGUAACUGACGCUGAUGUGCGAAAGCGUGGGGAUCAAACAGG
rnacentral:rRNA from 1 species